AGCAGUAGGGAAUCUUCCACAAUGGACGCAAGUCUGAUGGAGCAACGCCGCGUGAGUGAAGAAGGGUUUCGGCUCGUAAAGCUCUGUUGUUAAAGAAGAACGUGGGUAAGAGUAACUGUUUACCCAGUGACGGUAUUUAACCAGAAAGCCACGGCUAACUACGUGCCAG
rnacentral:rRNA from 1 species